AGGAUGAACGCUGGCGGCGUGCUUAACACAUGCAAGUCGAACGAUGAAGCCGGAGCUUGCUCUGGUGGAUUAGUGGCGAACGGGUGAGUAACACGUGAGUAACCUGCCCUUGACUCUGGGAUAAGCACUGGAAACGGUGUCUAAUACCGGAUACGAGCUUUAGCCGCAUGGCUAGGAGCUGGAAAGAAUUUCGGUCAAGGAUGGACUCGCGGCCUAUCAGGUAGUUGGUGAGGUAACGGCCCACCAAGCCUACGACGGGUAGCCGGCCUGAGAGGGUGACCGGCCACACUGGGACUGAGACACGGCCCAGACUCCUACGGGAGGCAGCAGUGGGGAAUAUUGCACAAUGGGCGCAAGCCUGAUGCAGCAACGCCGCGUGAGGGCGACGGCCUUCGGUGUAACCGUCUUUAGUACGGAAGAAGCGAAAGUGACGGUACCUGCAGAAAAGCACCGGCUAACACGUGCCAGCAGCCGACGGUAAUCGUGAGCGGCUGGACG
rnacentral:rRNA from 1 species